AUAAGGCCUGUGAAGGGGAAGAGUAAGUGUAGUUUCUCCUCAAAGCGAGCCGGUGAGGGUGCGAGACCGGUAGGAGCCUGCACUGAAGGCCGCCCUGGAGGUUCCUGCUGAAAGAGGAUUUUUCCUCGAGUAUGCACGGACGGUUGCCCCCCGCUAAAGGGGUGAAAGUUGGACCCUCAGGGUCAACUAGGGUGGUACCGCGGGAAGACCCCGUCCCUUGG
rnacentral:ncRNA from 1 species